ensembl:lncRNA
GUUGGAUGAUAAAAAGUAGCUGUAACUGUGACAAAGACAUGAUGUAGAAGCUGCAAUGGAAACACUUUAAUUAUUUUCCUUCAGUGAUGAGAAAAAGAAAUAUUUUAAGGUGGCAAAACCAACUUCUGUUCAAUUCCUACACCUUCACUUAAGGGAGAGAAGAAGCCUAAGAUGUGAGAGCUCUGAGGAGAAAUGGGAAGAAAACUAUGGAUUCCCUGGCAAGCCUUGUCCCCAGGAAUCCUGCACAAGCACAUGCCAAAGGUCUAAAAUUCCAAAUGAAAAUCAGUGAUUCGAGAAGUUAUUGGUCAUCAGAAUCAACUGGAGCCCUUAUAAAAAUACAGGUUCCUGGAUUCAACCUUCGGACAUUCUGAUUUAUUCGUUCAUCAAAUGAUUAUGGCAGGCCAUAAUGUGUGUAAUGCAUUACAUCCUGGGUACACAGUGAUGAAUGUAACAGAUAGAGUCCCGCCUUGCCCCAUCCAGCCUCUACAGGAGAACUGAGACUGAGGCCAGUAAUCUGUGUUUUAAAAAUGCUCUCCAGGCAAUUCUGACAACUGGACAGUUUAGAAGAGCAAUGUUUCAGACCAAGUGCAAAAAGAGACAUUUCUGGGGGAUUGUUCUAAUUCUGUUUGGGAUGAACUCAGAUUUACACUCUCGAAAGACUUCUAUAUGAAAAAAUCUUUAGCUUCUCCAAAGUGUGUGUGUAUCUUAGAUUGAAACAUAAAUGUUAACAAGAAGAAAACAC